UCAGGNUCAGGCCUAACACAUGCAAGUCGAGCGAGAAAGCCCUUCGGGGUGAGUACAGGGCGGACGGGUGAGUAUAGCGUGGGAAUCUACCCAGUAGCGGGGGAUAGCCCGGGGAAACUGGGAUUAAUACCGCAUACGCCAUACGGGGGAAAGCAGGGGAUUUUCGGACCUUGCACUAUGGGAGGAGCCCGGGUCGGAUUAGUUAGUUGGUGGGGUAAUGGCCUACCAAGGCGACGAUCUGUAGCUGGUCUGAGAGGAUGAUCAGCCACCCUGGGACUGAGACACGGCCCAGACUCCUACGGGAGGCAGCAGUGGGGAAUAUUGGACAAUGGGGGCAACCCUGAUCCAGCCAUGCCGCGUGUGUGAAGAAGGCCUUCGGGUUGUAAAGCACUUUCAGUGGGGAGGAAAAGNUGUUGGUUAAUACCCAACGGUCCUGACNAGNA
rnacentral:rRNA from 1 species